CUUUCUCAGAGUUUUGGGGUAUUGCUCUGCAGAGUUCUCUCAGUUUUAUUGUCUCUGAAAAUAAAAUCUCUUCUGGCAUCAAAAC